AUGACAACCUUCACCUUCGGGUCCCACGAGCUGCGCCUCCUCUGCCUCCGUGCCGCUUCCAGUUAGUGCUUCUUGCUCGUCAUAGGCUUCUUUCCUUUGAGAUUAAUGGAUUUGUGUUCCGGAAAAUGGGUGAUGCAGUUGUUUUUCUGGUAAAUUGUUACUUUCUUGAACUAGGGUGCUUGUAAAUUUUCAGCUUCGAGAGUUUUGCACUCAACCAUUCAUUAUUACAAAAAAUUCAGCCUCCGGCUGAUGAAGAGGAACUGAGGAUUUAGUACAAAGGGUACUGGGGAGUGGGGACCUAGCAUAAGGAUCGCCGGGCAUGGUUGAUUGAAUGCAGUAUUUUACUGCUCAAUAUGUUCGCUUUUUUUUAUAUCGCUACCUGCAACACAAGUGUUCUCUUUGAUCCUGCAGUGCUUGUACAGUGGAUGCAGUUAUCGGUGAUAAAUUCUGUGCUUGCUCUUUCAUUUGCUGAAUCAGCUGUUACUGGAGUCUGUAGUAUGUGUGUGCUUCAUGCCUUGCUGCCUUGUUUUACUAGAUGCAGUGGCGCUCCAGAUUGUUGUGACAGGUGUUUUUGUUCAUUUUCUUAUUUUGGCCUUAUAGCAGCAACACUGGAUGUUCAUUACACAUUCAUGUGACAUAGGACCACUUUUGCCUUAUCUUAUAUGAGAAUCUUUCCUGUCAUUCUAGUUCCUCGUGACCAAACAAAUGAAGGGCCUUGUUAUAAAUUCUUGUCACUAGAUGACUGUUAUGUCUUAUUCAAUCCCUUCAUGUUGUCUUUUAUAGCCAACUGUCAACAUAAAGAUAAAUAUUGGCUUCUAAAGUUCUGUACCACCAGUUCUGUGAUGAUAUGGAUGAUUUUAUUUAAGCCUCAAUGCCACAGCAUUAGUUCUGUUGGUGGAUUCCUCACAGUAUGCCUGUUCCUAUUGAGAUCUUGCCAUGUCAGCGACACUUACAGGCAUUUUAAUGAUUGGUGCAGCUUAUUUUGAUCCUACUGAACAGUUAGUGUGUCCAGGGGCAGUCCUGAUGAACAACUACCUACUCAACACCCUGAAAUUGUUAAGGGAUGUUCAGUAAUUGAGCUAGGAUCUGGGAUUGGCAUUACUGGCAUAUUGUGCAGCCGUUUCUGCAAGGAGGUUGUCUUGACUGAUCACAAUGAUGAAGUUCUGGAGGCAAGGUUAAAUUGUUUAGGAAUUCAUUCACUGAUACCUCAGCUUCACUUUCAUAUAGGAAUUAUAGAACAAAGUACCAUUGAGACUUUUGCUUUAGUUUUAGCCAUUUUGUAUAUAUAGGUAAAUGCAUACAGUUUACAACAGAUAGAAAAGGACAUUUGGCAAUCUGUAUGGCAAUAGUCGCUGCGUACCUUUCUGUCCACUGUACUGUCUAUGUCUUGAAUGAAGCGCCAGAAGAGUGGUAAAUCAUAAAUGAUGCAGUUACCUUUUAUACUCGCAUCAUUCCUUAUUAUUCAAUUCAAGUGCCGCACAUAUUUAUAGUGAAUAUAAUAACUUCACAGAUUAUAAGGGAAAAUAUAGAGUUGCAGUCAUGUUCUGAGAAUGCACAUGCAGUGUUGACAUCCGAGAAACUAGAGUGGGGAAACUCAGAUCAUUUAAGCGGUAUUAUUGAAAAACGUCCUGGUGGAUUUGAUCUUGAUCCUUGAAAUUUCCAUACUUAACUGUUUUUUUAUUUUAUUUUAAGGCUCUGGCCUUUGUCUUCUAUUCAUUUGUUAUAUAGCAAUCCUUGCAGCUUGUGGACCUUGACUCGCAGAAAGCUUCCAACAAUCUAGCAUUUCCUGCCUCUUUGAUACUCCAGAGAGGAUUUUUCGUAUUCAAGCUGGUAAAUGCAAAUUCAUAUUGGCUUAUGUAUCCCGAACUAAAGUGUAUGUAUUUUCGUCCUCCCAUUUUUAUUCGAACAGAUGAGUUGUCUUUUUUUUACACGUAAAAAUUGUCAGCAAAUACUGUUUACCAUACUUUCCAUGAGUUAGGAUUUGUGGCCUUUUCAUGACCCUGUGGGUGAGAUUUUCGGUUAUUAAAUAAAUAUUUUGGGGGAGGCUUUCCCCAGGAGUCCUUAAGACAGCGUUUUGAACCACUUAACAGAAAAAGGUAGCUGAGAUGAGAAUACCCAUUUGUAAAAAAUUUCAGGCUAUGCAUCAGUUAGAUUAGAAAGUUGUAAUCUGUACAUGUCCCUGAGUACCUCAGAGAAAAAAGGCAGGGAGAAGUACAUAGCAUCUCCAACUAACUGAGACAUUAUAUGAAUCUAUAAACCAUGGAUCUCAUGGAUCUAAACAUUGAAGAGGUUUGUACUUUGUAGCCAAAUUUUUACUUACGAAUGGCAUAUACAGUCGCAGAAGUCCUUGUGGUUCACAGGCAAACAAUUCGUAUGUCACCCAUUCCUUUGUCAGCGUGUUUGUCAGAGAUAUUAUGCAAUUGUUUGUCUAUAUUGUACUUGUAACAAACUCGGGUAUUAUUUGACAUUACUCAAGGAAGCCGAAAAGCAUGGAAUGUGUCUUGAAGAAGUGAAUGGAACGAGAACAACCAUCUCAAAUCUUGGAGGAGUCAUAUUUGACAUUACCCUGAAAUGACACUCUGACCUUUGACUCGCCUUUGUCAAAAUGCUUGGGUGGUUAUUUGUCAAAAUGCGGGUAAUUCGAAGUUCCGCAUUAUGGUGAGCUGGAGAUGUGGCAGUUGUAUUGUAUCUCUGUAGAGGAGGAAGCACUCACUACCUCGCUGUCACAGUAAGAACACUACCCAGUGAUGGUUUUUGAUUGAUAUGCCGAUUUGGUGUGGCCUUCUACUGUUUGACCACUUCAUCCUUUUAGCUAAUAUAAGAUAUAACAAUCGUCAAUUCACUAGCAGUGAUGUUACAACUUUCUCAGACUAUCUAUCGGUGAGAUGACCAGACUCUGGAAGUUGUGGCAAAGAGUUGCCGAAAGCAGCGGCAUCAUGUAUGAGUUGCAGAUGCUCGUCUGAAUUCUGAAAAAGGCUCUGGAUUACCAUGAGCUCGUGCUUGAUGCAGUACCAUGUUACAUGUAAAACACUAAUCGAACAGAAACCAUCAGCAACCCACCAAUUUUCCGCCUUGUUCUCUAGCCUGUUCUUGGUUCUUUGCUACAUCGAUCUGUAAGCUUGCCGAGACAGCUUGUCAAGACCUCCCUGACGCAACCUUGUCACUUGGGCGUCGGGACACAGUUUUAUCGGCUUUCCUGGACGCAGCCUGAAACCAGAUGGACAUGUUCUGUAUGGAUCAGAGCUGUCAGUGAUGCAUGCAUUGCAGUGCUUUAGCUGCAGUUUGAACAGGCCUGAACAACGUCGAAAUUUAUGGAGCGAUGAUGCAAGGUCUAUAUCCCGGAACUGCCAGGUGUUGUUGACACAUAACUCUAGUGUUCAUGAUCAUCGGGAAUAACAUACCACUAGGUUGGUAUUACUAGAUCUCAUAAUAAAAUACGAAAAUCAAGUAUAAACCCGUUCCAUCAAACACAGAUAAUUUUUUAUUGAUGUCAGUAGUUCGGGAGUCAUGUUAGAGACCGUGUAAUGUUUCAGUGGACGUAGGGCGUCAAUAAUAAUACGAGUAGCUAGCUCAUAGCAAAUUUUAUUCAGCAAGAAUAAGAGACACACACAGAUAAAACUAUGCAAUGUAAUUUUGGGUUUAGUUUGUUCUAGUGUGACCGACAGUGCCUCUUACUAUGAGGUUCACUGAACAUAGAAUUGUGCUUUUCAGGAUCAUACAAGAAAAGGCAUCAUGGCUGAUUAGUUUCUUUUAGCCUCUCCUUUUUUCCAGCGCAUCCGAUGCUGGGAGGGUGAGGUCAGAGGAAGGAGGAUGCCAAGAAAGAGGGAUGCAUCCAUCCAAGCAACUGAAAGGAGGAGGGAAAAAGUGUGCACAAAAAGAAGAGCAAAAUUUACUGGAGGGUACUGAGCCUAAAAAGCAAAAGUGAAAUGAAAAAAAAGAGGAAGGAAGCAACCGUGAGGUCUCUCAUCUUCACCACACACCAGUUGGGUGCCAUGGCAAGCAAACAGCCUUCUGCAGCUGCAGCAUCGAAUUCCAUUCCAUUGCAUUGCAUAGUAGGGUUUCAGGUUCCUUCCAUUGUUUACUCGCUUUCCAUGUCUGGCUGCAGAGAUUCCCUUGCGAAAAGCCCAAAACAUGUUGCAUAUAAACACAUAGAGAGAGGUUGAUUGGUUGGGCAAUGAUUGGGUGCAUACAUGAGAGAAGAAUUCCAUGCCAUUACAUUAUGCAAGGCACAUGCCUGCCUCCAUAAGACCAUAGCAAACAUGCAUGUUGUUUAGGGUGCAGCACAGUUCUUGCCUGAUGAUAACAAAGCCAUUAUCCAUGCAAUGCAUUGUUACGUUGCACGCAGAGUUGUCUCGCCCAAUGGCCACACAGCCUCCUCUUACCUUGGGAUAACAUAUACAGGCACAUAGAAUCCCUGCCUGUACGUACACGCAGUAGCCAGCUACUAGUAGAAGUAUGCACCAAACUCUGCUGCCCAAAUACCAACUGAUUGAUCUGACCUGAUCAACGACACAGGCGAGAUCUUUUGGUUGCUUGUCAAUUUAUGAGAUGUAUUAAUAACAGGUGACUGGAUGAGGUGCCGGUGACACCAUCCCUGCUGUUCUAUCAGCUCCAGCCCAGCCCAGGCCACCACAACGCAUACUUUUUUUGCAGGUGAGGUCGGCAUGGACAAAAUCCAACUGGCCCCGGCCGGCUCGCCGGCGCCGGCGGCCCGCCGGUUGGUCAAAAAGGCUGAUAGGCUCGGUCUUUGCUCCUGUAUCAGUGCCCUCUGGAUGGAAAAGUUGGGAGGCAUAGACAAAUAAUUCGGAAAAGAUGAUUGGAGGAACUGGAAAUUUUGUAUGAUUCGGAUGUAAGCUGUUGUUGGAGGUGGUAGUGGCAUGACAUGGACGCCACAGUGAUGAUAAACUUGUGACCUCACACUGCCGACCUGUGGGGCUCAAACAAUAUACAAGUACCUGAAAAUUGUUUUUUUUUCUUU